CCCUUAGAUGUCCUGGGCCGCACGCGCGCCACACUGAUGCAUUCAACGAGUUUUACCUUGGCCGAGAGGCCUGGGCAAUCUUUUAAACCUGCAUCGUGAUAGGGAUAGAUUAUUGCAAUUAUUAAUCUUGAACGAGGAAUUCCUAGUAAACGCAAAUCAUCAAUUUGCAUUGAUUACGUCCCUGCCCUUUGUACACACCGCCCGUCGCACCUACCGAUUGAAUGGUCCGGUGAAGCCUCGGGAUUGUGGCCAGUUCACUUUAUUGGGAGUUGGCUGUGAGAACUUGUCUAAACCUUAUCAUUUAGAGGAAGGUGAAGUCGUAACA
rnacentral:rRNA from 1 species